AUGAACGCUGGCGGCAUGCCUAAUACAUGCAAGUCGAACGAGAGGAAGGAAAGCUUGCUUUCCUGAAUCUAGUGGCGAACGGGUGAGUAACACGUAGGUAACCUGCCCAUGUGCCCGGGAUAACUUCUGGGAAACGGAUGCUAAAACCGGAUAGGUAGCAGACAAGCAUUUGACUGCUAUUAAAGUGGGCCUUGGCCAUGAACAUGGAUGGACCUGCGGUGCAUUAGCUGGUUGGUGAGGUAACGGCCCACCAAGGCGACGAUGCAUAGCCGGCCUGAGAGGGCGGACGGCCACAUUGGGACUGAGACACGGCCCAAACUCCUACGGGAGGCAGCAGUAGGGAAUUUUCGUCAAUGGGGGGAACCCUUGAACGAGCAAUGCCGCGUGAGUGAGGAAGGUCUUCGGAUCGUAAAGCUCUGUUGUAAGAGAAAAACGGCACUCAUAGGGAAUGAUGAGUGAGUGAUGGUAUCUUACCAGAAAGUCACGGCUAACUACGUG
rnacentral:rRNA from 1 species